GCCCAGACUCCUACGGGAGGCAGCAGUCGGGAAUUUUCGCGCAAUGGGCGAAAGCCUGAUCCAGCAACGCCGCGUGAGGGAUGAAGGCCUUCGGGUUGUAAACCUCUUUUGUCAGGGAAGAUGAUGACGGUACCUGAGGAAUAAGCCACGGCUAACUACG
rnacentral:rRNA from 1 species